AUUGAACGCUGGCGGCAUGCCUUACACAUGCAAGUCGAACGGUAACAGGUCUUCGGAUGCUGACGAGUGGCGAACGGGUGAGUAAUACAUCGGAACGUGCCUAGUAGUGGGGGAUAACUACUCGAAAGAGUGGCUAAUACCGCAUGAGAUCUACGGAAGAAAGCAGGGGAUCGCAAGACCUUGUGCUACUAGAGCGGCCGAUGGCAGAUUAGGUAGUUGGUGGGAUAAAAGCUUACCAAGCCGACGAUCUGUAGCUGGUCUGAGAGGACGAUCAGCCACACUGGGACUGAGACACGGCCCAGACUCCUACGGGAGGCAGCAGUGGGGAAUUUUGGACAAUGGGCGCAAGCCUGAUCCAGCAAUGCCGCGUGCAGGAUGAAGGCCUUCGGGUUGUAAACUGCUUUUGUACGGAACGAAAAGCCCCGGGUUAAUACCCUGGGGUCAUGACGGUACCGUAAGAAUAAGCACCGGUUAACUACGUGCCAGCAGCCGCAGUAA
rnacentral:rRNA from 1 species